rnacentral:rRNA from 1 species
AUUGAACGCUGGCGGCAGGCUUAACACAUGCAAGUCGAGCGGAGAUGAGGUGCUUGCACCUUAUCUUAGCGGCGGACGGGUGAGUAAUGCUUAGGAAUCUGCCUAUUAGUGGGGGACAACAUUCCGAAAGGAAUGCUAAUACCGCAUACGUCCUACGGGAGAAAGCAGGGGAUCUUCGGACCUUGCGCUAAUAGAUGAGCCUAAGUCGGAUUAGCUAGUUGGUGGGGUAAAGGCCUACCAAGGCGACGAUCUGUAGCGGGUCUGAGAGGAUGAUCCGCCACACUGGCACUGAGACACGGCCCAGACUCCUACGGGAGGCAGCAGUGGGGAAUAUUGGACAUGGGGGAAACCCUAAUCCAGCCAUGCCGCGUGUGUGAAGAAGGCCUUAUGGUUGUAAAGCACUUUAAGCGAGGAGGAGGCUACUGAGACUAAUACUCUUGGAUAGUGGACGUUACUCGCAGAAUAAGCACCGGCUAACUCUGUGCCAGCCGCCGCGGUAA